rnacentral:lncRNA from 1 species
GCUAGAUUGAAUCCCAGCCAAAGCGCCCAGAGUUCAACUUGGAUGCUGGAUCCUCUACCCAAAUUAGCUUUGAAAAUCACCUAACCAUUGCCCUCUGUCAUUCUGAAGAAGGACCCCGCCAACAUAAUCCCAUUUGUGGUUGAACGCGCUCCAUCUUAUACAUCCAGCAGUAGGAGAGCUUGCCAUUUGACCAUAACAGAGGCUCCAUGUCUUCCGAACAUGUUUCGAAAUCUGGCAUUACGUACCUCGUCCACAACUCGAAGAAUCACUCUAAUCGGGUAUGGAGGGGAAAUAUUGUAAUAACCCAACUUUUUGCUAAAUGUAAAUUACAUUUGGGAUGGUGGUUAAAUUCAGGAUUUCUCUUUAAACGCCCCAGUUUCCUGGACAGGAAUUCCAGACAUAUCGUAAAGAGGAAAGGGGACAACGGGUCUCCUUGCCUCAGACCUUGUUGCCCCUUAAAGAAGCCAUGCAAGGUUCUAUUUAUGGAUAUGGAAUAAGCUGUAGUUGAGACACAUUGCAUGACCCACUUUACAAACAUAGCUAGGAAACCCAUUUCCGAGAGCAUGUCCUCCAGGAAGACCCAAUUAAUUGUGCCAUAUGCUUUUCGAAGGUCAAUUUUCAUAAUGCAACGGGGGAACUUCUCUUUCGGCAAUAUUUCCUCAAGAGCUCCUGGACCAGAUAUAUGUUUUCUGUCAUGCUUCGAUAAGGCACAAAAGCCGACUGGGCAUGGUCUAUCAACUCCUCCAAAAUGGGAGAAAGCCUCGAGGCAAGGAUCUUGGAAAUAAUCUUAUAGAUCACAUUGCAGCAUGCGAUGGGUCUGAAAUCUCCCACUUUAGAGGCAUUCCCAGACUUGGGAACUAAAACAAUUGUUGUGUGGUUGAUUUGUUUGGGGAUCUUCCAGCUCUAAAAACUUCUUUCACUACUGAAAAUACAUCUGCCCCUACUAUACUCCAGGAUUUUUUGAAGCAGCAUGCAAUAAAACCAUCGGGCCUCGGAGCUUUAUCAUCUCCAAUACCAAAGAGAGCUGUUUUGAUAUCCUCCUCCACGACUGGGCGAAUGAGAAGCAAACUUUAUUCUUUCUGUACCAAUAGACCCUCUGCAAGCACUGCUCUUUCCAUCCUCGGAUACUCAGUUUUAGUCCCUAGCAGGUUUUUAUAAUAAUCAACAAAUAGAGAGCUAACCUGAUGGGGGGAGGUGGUGGCAACCCCAUCUUCGUUGAUCAGGGAUAUAAUUUGAUUCUUGGCUUUGUUGCUCUUGAUUAGAUUAUGAAAGAAUUUGGUUCCUUUGUCGCUGUUGUUCAAAGGCUUUUGCUAACUGAGAACAGAAACUCAACUCUACCUUAGGCAGCCUGUUGGCUUUCGCUCUAAGUUUUGGGACUUUGUUUUGAAGGUUAAUGUCACUUGGGUUAUCAUACAAAUUUUGUUCUCUGUUUCUGCAGCCUCAACUCGAGCUGAGAUAUGAGAGAAAUUUGUCUGUUUAAAACCUUCAAUGGAUCUUUCAGAGCCUUAAGCUUUUUGCAUAAUUUGUACAUAGCUGGGCCUUCCACUCUCAUGCUCCAACUGUUGCUAACCAAAUCUAAAAUUCUCAUGUUGAACCCACAUGUUAUAGAAUUUAAAAGAGUUGGGCCCUCUAUCAAGCUCACCAAAAAGGGAUACAACACAAGGCGAGUGGUCCGAGUGUUUCCCUGGGAGCCCAAAGUUUGCUUGGGCUAUCAGACCGUCUUGUAUCCAUCUGGAAUUAACCAUGGCUCUGUCCAGCUUGCACUAAACUAAAUUAUUAGUCCAUGUGUGGAACACUCUAGUGGAUCUCAAGUCUGAGAUUCCCAUAUCAUAACAGCAACUCCUGAAAUCUCUGGUUCCAUAUGUCAUGACUGGAAGGCCAUUGACUUUCUCCUCGCCACUAAGAACAUUAUUAAAGUCUCCCCAAAAACGCCAAGGCAGCUCAAGAGAAGCAUUAAAAUUGUUCAGAUUUUCCAAAAGGGGCUUUCGCCCCAUAAUAGUAUUAAAAGCAUAAAUAAAACUGAUAGCAAAUUUAUGGAAGUGGACUUACAGGAAGCCACAGAACGUAUGACUUGCUCGGUGCUUUCCAUAAUAUCCAGAUCCACUUUGUCUCCUUGCCAGAGUAUCAAAAUUCGACCAUUUGGAUUGAGCUGGAAAUUUUCUGCAACUUUCCAUCCUCUGAAUUUUCUGCUAAUGAAUCCUUUUAGACUAUGCUGAUCAAGCUUAGUUUCAAGAAUUCCCAUGACUGCUAUUUUAUUUUUCUUCACAUGCUUCAAGAUGCCAUUCUGUUUUAAAGGCCUGUUAAGACCUCUAAUAUUCCAAGAGAAAAUCAACAUUAAUCAUUUGGGAUAGGGGAGUCACCCCCCAUUUCUGCACAGAAUUCCUCAAAAGGAAUUACUUUACCAUUCUUCUUUGGGGCCUUUUUGUUCCUCUUCUUCUUCCCUUUUGGCCGUAGUGGGGGGAGGAUUGGAGGUGGAGGGGAGGUGGGGCUUAUCUGGAUUCUUAGCAGGUAGGGUGGUAGUUAUAGACCUUCGGAUGGGAUGGGAUGGGCUGUAUUUCUUUUUUGGGUUGCAAUUCCUCCAUUAUGCACUUUGGGGAUUUGUUGUGGUUUCCUUUGGGGGAUAAAUGGACUGGAUUCAGCCUUAUGUUUCUGCUGCAUGUCCUCUAGUUCUGGGAUUUUAAGCCCUAUGGAAAUCUCUCCACCCUCGUGAUGUUGGAUGGGAAUGCCCUGGGUUUGCUUUGAACUGGACUCAGGAAGCUGGGUUUGCUCUUCUAUUACAGAAAUAAUAGUGUUCCCAAUGUGCCCUUUUGCAUCCCAUUUCUUCUUCUUCUUCCAUUCAAUCUGGGCUUCCAUGUUGUGCCUGACUUAGUUUGUACUUCUUUCUUUCUGUCAGUCCUCUAGGAUUUUCCAAAGCAGGCUGACUUGUGAAAUUUGUUGGCUCUGGGUUCUGAACUGCCUCUGAUCUUCCUUUUUGGCCUUUAUAAGUAUUUGGCUGUUUAGUUACCCAUUAUAGCAGAUUUCCUUUGUUAGUUCCAGUCCCUGAGGUUCUAGUCUGGCCAUCAGUUGUAGCAGCUAUUGGCCAAGUUUCCUUCCCCGUCUUCAGGGCCAGCCCAGGGGUGAGCCCACCCAGCCCAUGGGCUUGGGCAACCCCCCUAGGUAGGGGCAACCAUCCUGCCCAUUUUUUUUUAAAUAUUAGGGGUUUUAUUAUUCAAAUUAAAACUAUAAGGAUCAAAUUAAAAUUGGGGGUCAACACUACAAGGACUAUGGUGUAAUUACCAGUUCUCAAGCAAUGCUUUGUCAUUUCGAAGGUGCCCUGGUUCCAGCCUUCAUUCUUACCCAUAGCCCGACCGCAGUUACACUUUGCCAGGUUGGCACUUCACAACACCAAACACAUACAAUACUGACAGACACAAACACAGACUGAGCCGAGAUCACAGACAGCCACGAACAAGUGGACCAUGAACCCGGACAACCGAGAGACAGACGACUUUCUCUCUCUCCUCCCUCACCUUCUUUCUCUCUUCCCUCUGGCCACGGACCACAGAUAGCCGAGAGACAGCCACUGAGCCGAGACCACCGAGAGUCCUUGUAUUAUUGCCGAGACCCUCGAGAGACAGCCGAGACCAGUGGAGAGUUUUAUAUUAGAUCAGUGGAGACUUUCUCUCAGACCACAAGACAGCCGAGACAGGUAACCACUCAAACAUUUUUAUAUUAAGCUUCCAUUUCUGAUUAAUGGUGGUUAAUGGUGGGUAACAUUGGUUAAUGGUGGUUUUUGCAUUAGUGCAUAUUUUGAUUUUGAUUACAAAUAUGUUAUGUUGGGCUGACUUAAGGCUUCAUUUAUGAUUAAUCUCUGUUAGUAGACUAUGGUGCCCGUGGCUAGUGUGGGUUACUGUUGUUAGAUAUAUAUGAUAAUGUAACAUGAUAAUAUCAAAUAUUUUUAGUAUUUUAUUUAUAGGUACUAAUUGUCUAAUUGCUAUGACGAAGAAUGAGACGACAAGAUAAGUGAGGUUAAGAAAACAGAACUCUGGACUUUAAGAUAGAAAAAUCAAACACAAAAAGAUGAAACAGAAACUCUCUGUAGGUUCAAUCGCUAGACUAAUUUGAUGCAAACAAACGAAAAUCUCUACUUUCAGUCAAGUUGUAAAAUCCAAGUGAUGAAACAAAAGGGGAGGAUGUUUUAAUGAUCUUCAUGAUGUUGAAGAAGCAAGUGAAGGUAUUGAUGUAGGAAAAUGAAGAAUUAGAGACGGGUAUAAUGAAAAUAAGUGAUGGUGUUAAUAGAGAAAAUGAAAGGUAUCCUUACCUUAAAAGAUCUUGAAUGUGGAAACUACGAUCAACUACAUCCUGAUGUGGGGAAGUAUUAUGACACUAAGAAGGUAUGUUAUUUUGGUACGAGGUCCUAAUUAAAAAUCUUAAGAGAAAGUGAUGUAUUUCCCAAGGAAAGUACUGCGGUCGACCCUUUUCUUCCAAUUCUAGUGUUGUGAUCUUCCCAAAUGGUGAGAAGCAGAAAGAAAUUGGCUUGUGUAUUCAAUGAGUUGCAUAAGAGGUAUUUUAUUUUUGUUACAAGUUAUUUAAGUCUAAGGCAAUGACACUAGUUUUGGCGGAGGAGGGAACUAGUGAUUGGCAUAACCUUUCUAGAAAGCUUGAGAGCAUGAAAGGAAGUGUGAACACAUCGCCAAUGUUUGUGAGGUGGGUAGACUUGCACAUGGAUUCAAAAAAGUCACCAAUUUACAAAAAAAUGAAAGAACAAAUCGACAUAAGAAAGAGUUCGUUGGAAGAUGAAUAGAGUUUCGGAUCAUCGGGGUUGUUAAGACUCUUGCUCGGAAUAGUUGGCCAUUUCGUGAAUAAAUGAGAAGAUUUAUGAGAAGAAUAAUGGGCUUUUUUGUCAACUUACGAAUUUGUUACGGAAUUUGAUCCUAUUAUGCAAGAGCAAACCUUCGGCCAUGUGGUGGAUAAAGAAAUCCCAAAACCCCCCUCAACAUCAUUAUCUUAGCCACAAAAUUCAAAGAAUUGAUAAGUUGGUUGGCGAAAGAGAUAAAAGAAAAAAGCUUAAAGAAGAUUUUAAGAGCAAAGUACCUUCCUCGGUUUAUUUUGAUUGUAACUCCUAUCUAUUCAUGAAGAACAAAUGUCUAUUGUUUAAUAUGUUGUGGAUGUUGAGGAUGAAAGUGAGUUAAGGUGGAGGAGUUCUUUCUUGACUUUAUAAAAUUUGAUGACAAACGUCGGGGUUUGGGCUUUUCAAGCGACUUGAAGAUGCUUCGUUGGUCCUAAAAGUCAACAUUGAUGAUAUAAGAGGACAAGUUUAUGAUAAUGGCUCGAACAUGAAAGGUAAAACAUCAAAGUGUCAAAAAGACUACUUACUUGAUAAUACAUUCCUAGAGCAUUUUUUAUUCCAUGUGGUUUUCAUAACUUAAAUCGUUGCAUUAUUGAUAUGGAAAAUCUUGUGUAAAAGAAAGAAAUUUUUUUUCGCAUAUGUGCAAAAAGGUUUAUACUUUGUUUUUCAGGGUUCAACACAUCAGUGGGAUUCUUCUUUCGAAACGUAUCUAAGAGUUUUGAAACCAAAGGCUUGUCGUAACUCUUGGAAAGUCAUUUUGAAGUGUAAAAGCAAUAGAAGCCAAGCACUGGAACUAGAGAGAUGCAUUGAUAUUUAAUUGCAAAUAUUUCUAAAAAAGCUGUUUGAUGGCAGAAGCUAAAGGUUGUGACAAAAAAUUCUUUAGAGGAUUUUGAAUUCUUUGAUUACUUAUGGUAUUUGGUUCAAAAUCUUAGACAAGUUUCAUCAAGUUAGCAAAGUUCUUUCAACGAGAAGAGAUGAAUAUUGAAAAUUCACUUACAAGAAUAAGGGAGUUUUUAUUUUUUCUUUGAAAAGGCUUAAGAGAAGAUGGUUUUGAAGACGUGAUGAAUCAGUCAAGAACUUGCAUACAUGACUUGGUAUGAUCCGAUUCACAACAAAAAGAGUUGUUCGAAGAAAUAAUAAUUUGAUGAGGAUGUGGGAGUGACGCCAAUGGAAGUAUCACCGGAAGAUAAUUUUAGAGUUACGCUAUUUUAUUCACAUUAAUAGAUCAGCUCUUACUUCUCUUAAGGAUCGCUUUGACCAAUUUGAAACUUAUGAAGCAAUUUUUGGAUUUUAUUUAAUCCAAAAUUCAAAAGUGUUAGUGAGGAGGCAAUUAUGAAGUUGCCUAAAUUGAAGUUUUCUAUCCUUGGAACCAAUGAACAUGAAAUAUAUUUAUGGGGUACCACUGAGUUCUUCCAAGAACUUUAACAUGUGGAAAAUAAUAUUGCCGGAGAAAUACAAAAGCUAUGACGUCCUUAUUUUAUAAGGUCUUAUUGGAGAGAGGUGGUUUUCAAAUGGCAUGGGUGCUUAUCGAUUUUAUUGACUAUAACCACCGGUUACAGUGGCUUCGCGGAGAUAAAGUUUUUCUAAGUUAAAGUUGAUAAAAUACCUUCCGGACUACCAUGUCACAAGAUAUAUUUAAGUGAUUGGCUAUGUCUCUAUUGAAAAGAGUUUCCUAGAUAAGUUUAAAGUACCGACUUAAUUGAAGAAUUUGCUUCAAAAAAUGUAAGAGGAAGUUGUUUUUCUUUGAAUCGAAUUAAUGCUAAUCAGAAAGCACCAUAACCAAUUAAUCUGGGUUACCUUUUAAUUUUUGAUUUUUUUGAUAUAAUUCAAUUAAAAUUAUAAUGUAAUCUGAUUUUGAUUUUUCAUUAUAACUAUAUGACUUCUUUUGGUAAUUGCAUUAAUAUCCGAGGGCAACUAUAUUUUGAUCGGGCUAGCAACCCAAAUGUCGGGGCCAGCCCUGCCCGUCUUAGUAGCUUUGUCAGCAGGUUUUGCAGAUUCAUCUUUGUUGGAUUUAUUUGCUUUGCAUCCCUUCUGAGUGUGUCCCAUAAUUCUACGGUGAGUACAAAACUUUGGAAGGUUUUCAUAGAAAUUGGUUGUUAGUAGUCUCCCCCUCCUCCCGGCACAUUUAGUGUUACGGUGACUGUGUGCUUUAUCUCUUUUGCCAUGUCAAUUUCCACUAGGCACCUUGCGUAAGUAACUCUUUCCUUUUGAGAGGUCAUCUUGUCCAUGUGUAUUGCUUUGCCAAUUUUGAGCAAAUUUUCCCAAAAACAUUUGGACACCACAUGUCUAGGGGAACAUACCUAAGCUGAACCCAGACGGGGAAGCUGCUAAUGGCCUCAUUCCCAAACCUGAAGAAGCGAGGCAUUGCCUCAUGCAGUGGUUCUCCAUAAAUGAGUAAGGCCCUUCCCUUACACUGUACUUGUUAUCUGCUGAGAACAACUGAAAAAUGAGCCACCCACUCCCUGAUAGCUUAAAGAGACUUGGACCCUCUAUGAGUUCGUUAUAUGCUUAAGGGCUUGUUUCCUGGGAAAUCUUCCCCCAAAAUACCCUAUUAGACAUUGUUCCCAUAGGAAAUUUGAGCCUUCGAUGUCCUCCUCCUCUAUUAUAACCGGCCCCUCAUCUUGAUCAAAGAAUUGUAGCUGGCUUCCUUUUGUUGGCAUUCGAUUUCCAGCUAGGAGACUUGCAUAGGAUUUGGUCGUGGGCUUUUCCUGUAUCUCUUUCCUCCCCAGCAGCUAAUGAUUCGCCUUGGGUAUUCCUAGUUUUCACUAUGGCAUUUGGUCGAACACUUAGGAGGCUGGCCUCAGUGGGAAGCUCUGGGGCUGGUGUAACACUGGGAAUUACUGUAGCAGUAACUUCUGAGUUUGGUUCCUCCCCAAAAUUAUCCCUAUCAGACUCGUACAAAUCCGUAGAGGCAGCAUUUGCAACUAGGACUCCUUGGCCCCCUUUAUUUUGCUUGUUUUUGGCCUUUGCCAUAUUAAUUUAUGAAAUCAUGAAGCCUCAGCAAGGAGCCGGGACAGCACCUCAGAAGUUACAAACAGCAAUGGCAAUUCCCACCUUCCGUAGGUACAACCAACAUGUUGUGCCUCAAAACUAAUUAUGGAUCACACACACACAAAAGACCAUAAAGAUUUACGUGAUUCGGCCAACGAUGCCUACGUUCCCACGGAGAGAAAUCACCAAUCUCUGCUAAUCAAAGCGAGAUUAAAUACAACGGAGGAGGCUCGAUCGCUCAACUCAACACAUUCCUCUCACAUCUCCCCUCUCUUGUCUUGCCUCUCAUCUCACACUCAUGAAUCUGCUCUCAGCCCACAACACAACGCACGUAUAAAAUCUAAGCACCCCUACCAUCCCUUUUAUAGACUAAGGGAAGGUGGUAGACAUCCUACCAGAUACCUAAUCAUUAAUCUUAAUCUAAUCUAGGAAAACAAAAGAUAAAAGACUCUCCAAGAGUUCUAGAUUAACUCCGAGAGUUUCAACACCGUCACAUAUGACACUCCAUAUGAACUCCAAUCGGGCUUGGGCUUGGGUUUGGCUACUGGCUUGGACUCCAUCAAGAAAGUGGGGCUGGACUCAUUCAGAUGGGGCUGGACUCAACAAUCUAUCUUCUCCCCUCCAUCCCACUGGAGGAUAAUCCGAUGGUCUUCAAAUGUCCCUUCUGACAGCUUUCUGAUCUAUCUCCUAUCCUCUCUCCUCUCUUCCCCCAUAAGACUGCAAGACAGCAAUCCGAGAUACCUUAGCCUUCAUCCCAGGCACUCUACUUCUACGCCACUUCCCACUCGAGUGUAUGCAUUUCCACACCGACGUGCUUGCACCUUCUCACGGAGGUGCCCUGCCCCCCCCACUGGGUGCCUCUCUUGGGCACGUGCGGGCGCGUGGGUCCUCCUCGUGCCGCGUGUAGUGUCGUGGAACCUCUCCCUAGGUGCUGGCUGAGACUUUAUCUCCUCGCCGAUAUUCAAAAAACGGUGGCGUUAGGGCGGCUUCGACUCGUUUCUGACGCGGUUUGGUGCGGGAGUUUCGUAUCGAUGAGAGGAACAACCUAGUGCCAAUCAAAAAUUAAUUUUAAGCACUUUCCCAGAACCCGAAUUUCACCUGGGCUCCGAAUCGCCUCACCUAGGCUCUGAUUACCAAUUGUUGUACUCAAAACUAAUUACGCGAUCACACACUACCAAAAGACAAUAAAGAUUUACAUGAUUUGGUUGGCCAACGAUGCCUACUGCCCACGGGAAAAAUCACCAAUCCUAUCAACAAAUGGAUUACACAAUGGAGGAGCCUCGAUCGCUCAUUACACCAUCUCUCACAAUCUCUCUUUGUCUUGCCUCUCAAUCUCACCUUACAAACAUUACAGCAAUCUGCUCUCAGCCCACAACACCACUCACGUAGAAAAUCUAAGCACCUACCAUCUUUUAUAGACAAGGGAAGGAUGUGGUGGACUCCUACCAAAUACCUAAUCCAUUUAUUAUCCUAAUCUAUCUAGGAAAACAAAAGAUAAGACUUCAAGAGUUUUAGAUAACUCGAGAGUGUCAUCAUCAACCGUCACAGGGACAACCCAUUAACGCCAUCGGGCUUGGGCUUGGCUAACUGUGGACUUGGACUCAUCCAAGUGGGCUUGGGACUUCCAGAUGGACUAGACUCAACACAAAAAACACUUAAUAGGUCCAUGCAAUGAUUGAAAACCAGAAACCCAGUAGUUGUGAACAGCAAGUAUGCUCAGCUAAUGUAGACUCAACUUCAAACAGGAAGCUGUGCACUGCUUUGAGCUCUGAUUCGAACUCCAAAGUGGAAACCCAAACUCAAAUCUGUGUAAAAACAGAUCUGGAAAUGUAUAGAAUCGUGAUUCCAAGACCUCCGUAUGAACCACAACAGUUGUAGUGAAACACCUGACGCCAAGGAGAUGGAUUGAAUCUACCGAACGAGCAAGAACAGUCGGUUAGCCAAAGCAGGUGAAUCUGCAAAGAAGAAUUGCCUCGAGAGCUUCUCUCUCUAACGUUGGCCGUCUAUUCUUCUUUGUUAUGUUGAUCUGAUUUGUGGUGGUGGCUAAAGUACUGUAGAACUACUUGGUAUAUGAAUUGAGUGAACCCCCACUAACAUGGGCGGAACUACCUUGGGGGCUUACCUGGGCUGUAGCCCGGGUAGUUCAGCCUAAAAAAAAAUUAGCAGUUCAAAAUUUUUGAC